rnacentral:rRNA from 1 species
GACGAACGCUGGCGGCGUGCUUAACACAUGCAAGUCGAGCGAUGAAGCACCUUCGGGUGUGAAUUAGCGGCGAACGGGUGAGGAACACGUGAGAAAUCUGCCUUCAACACUGGGAUAACUCCGGGAAACCGGGGCUAAUACCGGAUAUGAAACCUGCGGGCAUCCGCGGGUUUGGAAAGUUUUUCGGUUGAAGAUGAUCUCGCGGCCUAUCAGCUUGUUGGUGAGGUAAUGGCUCACCAAGGCGACGACGGGUAGCCGGCCUGAGAGGGCGAGCGGCCACACUGGGACUGAGACACGGCCCAGACUCCUACGGGAGGCAGCAGUGGGGAAUAUUGGGCAAUGGAGGAAACUCUGACCCAGCGACGCCGCGUGCGGGAUGGGGGCCUUCGGGUUGUAAACCGCUUUCAGCAGGGAAGAAGCGAAAGUGACGGUACCUGCAGAAGAAGCACCGGCUAACUAUGUGCCAGCAGCCGCCGUAA